rnacentral:rRNA from 1 species
AUACGGAGGGUGCGAGCGUUAAUCGGAAUUACUGGGCGUAAAGCGUGCGCAGGCGGUUUGGUAAGUCAGAUGUGAAAGCCCAUGGCCCAACCAUGGAAGUGCAUUUGAAACUGUCAGACUUGAGUACUAGAGGGGAAAGUGGAAUUCCCGGUGUAGAGGUGAAAUUCGUAGAUAUCGGGAGGAAUACCGGUGGCGAAGGCGACUUUCUGGCUAGAUACUGACGCUGAGGCGCGAAAGCGUGGGGAGCAAACAGGAUUAGAAACCCGAGUAGUCC